AGGAGGGGCUGGAGCACGGCCACCCAGCUCCGCUGCGCAGGGACGCGCUCGCGCCGAGAAAGGGCACGCGAGCGGAGGGACGACGCCGGCGGGACGAGGGAGAGAGAGGAGUGGGUUCUCACCUGUGCACGAUGGCCGACCCCUGCAGGUGUUCCUAGGGUCUUCGUCGAGGGGCUUCACGACGCGCAUCAUGGGGAAGCUCUGGGGGACGACCGUCGAGCGGUUGUGCAGAGCAACACUCGUGCAUCGCAGGGUGUGCUCGCACGGGUUGCAGUGGCCGCGCGGCCAUGGCUAGUUGUGCGUGUAGGGAGAGAGAUGUUGGAGUAUGCUUGGAACUGUCAUCUCCAUAAGCAGGGGAAGGAUCGUAGUGGAGGUAGUCACGACGUCGUGGGGGAAUAGGGGGGAGAGGGAGAGAGAGUGGUGGGCGAGGCGCCGCGGCGGCUGGGCACGGUGCUGGGCAGCUGGGCGAGCGCGCGCAGGAGGCGGCGCUAGGGUUUUGGGGCGCGGGGCGCGUGAGGCUGGCUGGGGUGCUCGCGGCGUGGGCCGGCCGGAAAAAGCCGAGCUGGGUUGGGCUGGGGGGG
rnacentral:misc_RNA from 1 species